GCCCUUUUCCGGUUGAUCCUGCCGGAGGCCAUUGCUAUUGGGUUCCGAUUUAGCCAUGCUAGUUGUACGAGUUCAGACUCGUAGCGAAUAGCUCAGUAACACGUGGCCAAACUACCCUUCGGAGCGCGAUAACCUCGGGAAACUGAGGCUAAUAGCGCAUCCCACACUCAGCCUGGAAUGGCGAGUGUGGCAAACGCUCCGGCGCCGAAGGAUGUGGCUGCGGCCGAUUAGGUAGACGGUGGGGUAACG
rnacentral:rRNA from 1 species